rnacentral:misc_RNA from 1 species
GAUGAAGAACGUAGCAAAUCGCGAUAUGUAAUGUGAUCUGCCUAUAGUGAAUCAUCAAAUCUUUGAACGCAUCUUGCACCUUAUGGUAUUCCAUAAGGUACGUCUGUAUCAGUACCACUAGUAAAUCUCCCCUCCACCUUGGUGGUUUAAAAGGAAGAGAUAAAUUAUUACUGGUUCUGGUGAUUCUUGAUUUAUUAAGAAUUACUCUCGACCUAAAUAUAAGUCUCGACUUUUUUAUUAGAUCUCGCAUCUGGUAAAACCUAGUCGGCUUUAAUAGGAUUUAUUUCUUAUUAGGUUUAUAGCCAUCAUUUUACUUUUAAAUCUUGGCCUGAAAUCAGAUGGGACUACCCGCUGAACUUAAGCAUAUCAAUAAGCGGAGGA